UGAUAUAAUCCCUUCUGUAAUAUCCCACAAGAAUAUUGAGUACUGAUGAGUUGGGCGAGGACCAAAGUUUAGAGGCGAUCUAAUAGGAAAGAGAAAUUUCCACGAAAGAGACACAGAAAUUUUCGAGAAGGAAAAGAGGAAAGGGUAGGUUUUCUCUCGAGUUUUGUUUUAAGUUGAAAUUUGGCGAACUGAAAUCGAAGAAUCGAACGCCAGACCGGACUAACAGUUAUAUUCAGAGAGUUUGCUGCGAAAAGCACGUUAAUUCAAAUUCAGAAAAUAUAUUUUAAAAUAGUAAUUUGAUAGAAAGUAUGUGAUUGAAAAAUAAUGAAAAGUUUUUGAUUUACGUAUAAUGUUAUUUUAAUAAAGAAUGUGUGAUUGAAAAGAAUAGAGAGAAAAAUACAUUUUGAAAAAAAAGGGUACCAAACGGGGGCUUAUUUUUGUUGAGCCAUCUAGUCUUUAUUUUUCCUCGCACUCUCUAUUUUAUUUAAAAUAUAUUUUUUAUCUCUUUUUUUAUCAAUUAUACAUUUUUCAGUAAACUAAUAUUACACUUAAAUUCAAAAAAUUCCUUCUUUUAAAGCUACACAUUUUUUUAAAAAAAUUUACUAUUUCAAUAUAAUUUCUCCAAAAAUACAAUAUAAUGGAGCCCAGAAUCUUUUUUAAUAAAUUGGAUACCCAUUUAACGACAUCCACUUUAGAUUUUCCACGAAAGAGACAGAAAUUUUCGAGAAGGAAAAGAGGAAAGGGUAGGUUUUCUCUCGAGUUUUGUUUUAAGUUGAAAUUUGGCGAACUGAAAUCGAAGAAUCGAACGCCAGACCGGACUAACAGUUAUAUUCAAAGAGUUUGCUGCGAAAAGCACGUUAAUUCAAAUUCAGAAAAUAUAUUUUAAAAUAGUAAUUUG
rnacentral:lncRNA from 1 species